rnacentral:rRNA from 1 species
UACGUAGGGGGCAAGCGUUGUCCGGAAUCAUUGGGCGUAAAGAGCGUGUAGGCGGCUCGGUAAGUCCGCUGUGAAAGUCCAGGGCUCAACCCUGGAAUGCCGGUGGAAACUGUCGAGCUAGAGUCCGGAAGAGGCGAGUGGAAUUCCUGGUGUAGCGGUGGAAUGCGCAGAUAUCAGGAGGAACACCAACGGCGAAGGCAGCUCGCUGGGACGGUA